rnacentral:misc_RNA from 1 species
GAAAUGCGAUAAGUAAUGUGAAUUUCAGAAUUCCGUGAAUCAUCGAAUCUUUGAACGCAUAUUGCGCCCUCUGGCAUUCCGGGGGGCAUGCCUGUCCGAGCGUCAUUACGCACCCUCAAGCCCGGCUUGUGUGAUGGGCCCUGGCGUCUCGUUCGCGAGACGGGCCCGAAAGGCAGCGGCGGCGUCGACCCGAUGAGCCCGAGCGUAUGGGGACUUUUGUCACACGUUUGCGGUGCGGACCGGCGCCUGCUUGACUUUUCUGAUUAUCCAGGUUGACCUCGGAUCAGGUAGGGAUACCCGCUGAACUUAAGC